CCUACGGGUGACAGCAGUGGGGAAUAUUGGGCAAUGGGCGCGAGCCUGAACCAGCAAAGCCGCGUGAGGGAGGACGGCUCUACGGGUUGUAAACCCCUUUUGCCGGGGAGCAACGGGCGUCGCGUGUGGCGCAAUUGAGAGUACCCGGUGAAAAUGCAUCGGCUAACGCCGUGCCAGCGGCGGCGGUAAUACGGGGUAUGCGCGGGUUAUCGGGAUUUAUUGGGUUAAAGGGGUGCGUAGGCGGAUCGUUAAGUAAGUGGGCAAAUCGCGGGGCUCAACCCCUUCCCGCAAUUGAAACUGGCGGUCUUGAGUAGAAGAGAGGGAGGCGGAAUGCGUGGUGUAGCGGUGAAAUGCAUAGAUAUCAGGAAGAACCCCGGUUGCGAAGGCAGCAUGCCGGAUACCGACUGACGCUGAGGCACGAAAGCGUGGGGAGCGAACAGGAUUAGAUACCCCGGUAGUC
rnacentral:rRNA from 1 species